rnacentral:rRNA from 1 species
UUCCGGUUGAUCCUGCCGGACCUGACUGCUAUCGGAUUGAUACUAAGCCAUGCGAGUCUUUGUAGUAAUACAAGGCAUACGGCUCAGUAACGCGUAGUCAACCUACCCUAUGGACAAGAAUAAUCUCGGGAAACUGAGCAUAAUUCUUGAUAGAUCAUAAUGCCUGGAAUGGUUUAUGGUUAAAAUGAUUCGUCGCCAUAGGAUGGGACUGCGGCCUAUCAGCUUGUUGGUGAGGUAAUGGCCCACCAAGGCGAUUACAGGUACGGGCUCUGAGAGGAGAAGCCCGGAGAUGGGUACUGAGACAAGGACCCAGGCCCUAUGGGGCGCAGCAGGCGAGAAAACUUUGCAAUGUGCGAAAGCACGACAAGGUUAGUCCGAGUGAUUUCUGCUAAAGAGAUCUUUUGCUAGUUAUAAAACCACUAGUGAAUAAGGGGUGGGCAAGUUCUGGUGUCAGCCGCCGCGGUAAAACCAGCACCUCAAGUGGUCAGGAUGAUUAUUGGGCCUAAAGCAUCCGUAGCCGGCUCUGUAAGUUUUCGGUUAAAUCCAUACGCUCAACGUAUGGGCUGCCGAAAAUACUGCAGAGAUAGGGAGUGGGAGAGGUAGACGGUACUCGGUAGGAAGGGGUAAAAUCCUUUGAUCUAUCGAUGACCACCUGUGGCGAAGGCGGUCUACCAGAACACGUUCGACGGUGAGGGAUGAAAGCUGGGGGAGCAAACCGGAUUAGAUACCCGGGUAGUCCCAGCUGUAAACGAUGCAGACUCGAUGAUGCAUUGGCAUAUAGCCAGUGCAGUGUCGCAGGGAAGCCGUUAAGUCUGCCGCCUGGGAAGUACGUACGCAAGUAUGAAACUUAAAGGAAUUGGCGGGGGAGCACCACAAGGGGUGAAGCCUGCGGUUCAAUUGGAAUCAACGCCGGA